CACCACCCCCGCUUCCCCUCCCUCACUCUGUCUGUCCAGAUCUGCUUGUAUGGUUGGUUUUGCUGUUAGAUGCGCGCGUCGUUGACCCGUCGCUUGUCGCGAGGUUUUUGCUCGGAUAGAUCCGCUGAGUAUGCUUGAACGAAAUACGAUGAGGUUUUUGUCGUUGACCCGUCGCUUGGUGCGAGUUGUUCUGCUUCGGUAGAUCUGCCGAGUAUGUUUCGGCGGUUAGGAUGUGUGUACGGUCGUAUAUGUGCUAUACUUAUACGCUGGAGGCGAACCAUGCUACUUUUUUGGUGAUUUUAAGCUGCAUCUCGUGGCUUUAUGCGGCUAACCGGUUAGAUCUGUGAUGUGGUUUGGUCAUGUAUAAUUUUAUAUGCCUGCUAACUUUCUUGGAUCUACUUUUGAAGCUUGUGUCCAGCUUCACUUAUUGUGAUUGUUUCAGGGUCCUCAGCUGUGGUCCGUUUAGAUCCAUAUAUAGCUGCAGGAUCCUUGCUUCUAUUUUGCACUUCAUAUUGUGGACAAAAUAUCUUUUACUUAAGUCCUGUAAUUUUUUUAAUGGAACUAAAUAUCCACAGUACUACACUUCAGUGUGUGCUAGCAAUUUUUUUAACUAAGGUAGUUGUCAUCAUUUCAUUGCCAACUGCUGUUAUUAUUUUGCACACUUAUUUUCAAAAUUUUGCAAGGAUCAUUUAUGCUAACUUUUUUGGAUCUACUUUUGGAUCUUGUAUCUAGUUGUUCCUUUUAUUACGAAUGUUUUUCAUGGUCCUCAUUUAGAUCCAUACGUAGCUGUAGGAUUAUUAGUUUGGCUUAAUAGUAUGUAUUUAUUUCAUGGGUCAUACAUUAAUUAUUAGAGAAAUCACACUGUAAUUGUUCUCUGUUUGAGUCAAUGAGUAUGGCAUUUUGUGCCCCGUUUUAAAAAAAAAAUAUUGAUAGGUUGUCUCAGCUUAUUGUCUGAUUACUUGAUAUGAAGCUAUAUCUUAUUUCUAAAAAUCCAAGUUAAAGUCACGUUUUUGUUCAACAUUUAAAUAUUGUUUCUAUCUUGGUCGUCCGGAACAUUUGCCCUGUUAUGUAAGCCUUUAAGAAUUUAGUUAGCAUGUUGUGUGCACUUUUUUUUGGCAGCUACUUGCACCACUAAUAACCAAUUAAAUUGAGAUACUUUUUGGCACACGUAUUUGUAACUCAAUGUUAUAGAUGUUAAAUUGGUCAUCAUUUAUUGCUCUUCUGGAUUAAUCCUUCUUUGUCUUCAUUAUUCUGCAUCCAUUCUAUAGAAGAAUUGUUUUGUGUUCUGUGUGAACGAGUGCUGACAUUUCUGAGCCGUUAGGAAGCAUGCUAACUCAAUACUGAAUUAGUAUUUAGUUUACUUGUAUAGAUCCUGAAUCCUGUAAAUUAUGAAGUUCCACCCAAUACUACUGCUUAUAGCUGCCAUAUAUAUACCUAGCGUUUUAUUACUGUUUUAUUAUUAUCAUAUUGUACCUGGGUGCAAUUAUGUGCAAGUUAUAUGUGGUCACUGGAUUGCAUGUAACUCUGUACAUGCUUCCACUUGUGAACCAAGUACAAGUAAGGUUCACGUAGCUUCUUGAACCUUAGGGAAAAGCCGCAUAACACCAUUAACUUGAAAACCACUUAUCUUAUCCCAGAACUGCUCCUACCACAAUAUAAGGGGUAAAAAAUGGUUUUUAGUUUGUGAGGUCAUGUGGAUUUUUCACCAAGAUUCAAGUGGUUAUCUGGAUCUUUUGACUUAAGUGCAUAUGAACCAUGUACAUGCUUUCAUUUACUUUUCCAGUAUUGUGAUUUAUUCAAGGCCAAACAAAGACCUAUACAGAAAUAUAAAGUUUUAGGAAGGUACACAUAGCCUCUUGAAAGUUGCAUAUAACAGUUUAAUUUGGAACCACAUUUUUUAUCCCAAAGUUGCUCUGCAGAACAAUUUAAGGGGUACACUAUAUGGUUUGAGGUUGUGGUUAUUCAUCAAAAUUGAAGUGUUUAUCCAAAUAUUUUUGGAAGAACUUUGAAUUAUAUAUGUACAUAUGGGCUGCAAGAAUGCGUGAGACAUGCUUUCAGUUCCUUGUGCAAUAUUUUGUGACUUAUUCAUGCUAUAAUAAAGACAAGCAGGAAUAUGUAUGAGUAA